rnacentral:rRNA from 1 species
CCUACGGGAGGCAGCAGUGAGGAAUAUUGGUCAAUGGUCGGGAGACUGAACCAGCCAAGCCGCGUGAGGGAUGAAGGUACAGAGUAUCGUAAACCUCUUUUGUCAGGGAACAAAGGCGGGGACGUGUGCCCGUAUGAGUGUACCUGAAGAAAAAGCAUCGGCUAACUCCGUGCCAGCAGCCGCGGUAAUACGGAGGAUGCGAGCGUUAUCCGGAUUUAUUGGGUUUAAAGGGUGCGCAGGCGGUAUGUAAAGUCAGCGGUCAAAGCCCGGGGCUCAACCCCUGCGCGCCGUUGAAACUGGCAUGCUUGAGUGGGAGAGAAGUAUGCGGAAUGCGCGGUGUAGCGGUGAAAUGCAUAGAUAUCACGCAGAACUCCGAUUGCGAAGGCAGCAUGCCGGCGCCACACUGACGCUGAGGCACGAAAGCGUGGGUAUCGAACAGGAUUAGAUACCCUGGUAGUC